AUUGAACGCUGGCGGCAUGCUUUACACAUGCAAGUCGAGCGGCAGCGCGGGGGCAACCCUGGCGGCGAGCGGCGAACGGGUGAGUAAUUCAUCGGAACGUAUCCUCGAGUGGGGGAUAACCCAGCGAAAGUUGGGCUAAUACCGCAUGAGCUCUGAGGAGGAAAGCGGGGGACCUGCGAGGGCCUCGCGCUGGAGGAGCGGCCGAUGUCGGAUUAGCUAGUUGGUGGGGUAAAGGCUUACCAAGGCGACGAUCGGUAGCUGGUCUGAGAGGAUGAUCAGCCACACUGGGACUGAGACACGGCCCAGACUCCUACGGGAGGCAGCAGUGGGGAAUUUUGGACAAUGGGGGCAAGCCUGACGCAGCCAUGCCGCGUGAGUGAAGAAGGCCUUCGGGUUGUAAAGCUCUGUCGGUCGGAAAGAAAUGGUCUGGACUAAUCCGCCUGUCUGAUGACGGUACCGUAAGAAGAAGCAACGGCUAACUACGUG
rnacentral:rRNA from 1 species